rnacentral:rRNA from 1 species
UACGUAGGGGGCAAGCGUUGUCCGGAAUCAUUGGGCGUAAAGAGCGUGUAGGCGGCUCGAUAAGUCUGCUGUGAAAGUCCAGGGCUCAACCCUGGAAGGCCGGUGGAAACUGUCGGGCUAGAGUCCGGAAGAGGCGAGUGGAAUUCCUGGUGUAGCGGUGAAAUGCGCAGAUAUCAGGAGGAACACCAAUGGCGAAGGCAGCUCGCUGGGACGGUACUGACGCUGAGGCGCGAAAGCGUGGGGAGCAAACAGG